rnacentral:rRNA from 1 species
AACGAACGCUGGCGGCAUGCCUAACACAUGCAAGUCGAACGAAGCCUUCGGGCUUAGUGGCGCACGGGUGCGUAACGCGUGGGAAUCUGCCCUUUGGUUCGGAAUAACAGUUGGAAACGACUGCUAAUACCGGAUGAUGACGAAAGUCCAAAGAUUUAUCGCCAGAGGAUGAGCCCGCGUAGGAUUAGAUAGUUGGUGUGGUAAAGGCGCACCAAGGCGACGAUCCUUAGCUGGUCUGAGAGGAUGAUCAGCCACACUGGGACUGAGACACGGCCCAGAAUCCUACGGGAGGCAGCAGUGGGGAAUAUUGGACAAUGGGCGAAAGCCUGAUCCAGCAAUGCCGCGUGAGUGAUGAAGGACCUAGGGUUGUAAAGCUCUUUUACCCGGGAUGAUAAUGACAGUACCGGGAGAAUAAGCCCCGGCUAACUCCGUGCCAGCCGCCGCUGUAA